rnacentral:rRNA from 1 species
UACGUAGGGUGCGAGCGUUGUCCGGAAUUAUUGGGCGUAAAGGGCUCGUAGGCGGUCUGUCACGUCGGGAGUGAAAACUCAGGGCUUAACCCUGAGCCUGCUUCCGAUACGGGCAGACUAGAGGUAUGCAGGGGAGAACGGAAUUCCUGGUGUAGCGGUGAAAUGCGCAGAUAUCAGGAGGAACACCGGUGGCGAAGGCGGUUCUCUGGGCAUUACCUGACGCUGAGGAGCGAAAGCUAGGGGAGCAAACAGG